UCUUACCGGGACCGACAGCAAUAUGAAGGCCAGGCUGAAGACUUUGCCGGAUUAGCUGAGAGGUGGUGCAUGGCCGUCGUCAGUUCGUACUGUGAAGCAUCCUGUUAAGUCAGGCAACGAGCGAGACCCACGCCCACAGUUGCCAGCGUACUCUCUGGAGUGACGGGUACACUGUGGGGACCGCCGCUGCUAAAGCGGAGGAAGGAAUGGGCAACGGUAGGUCAGUAUGCCCCGAAUAUCCCGGGCUACACGCGAGCUACAAUGGUUGGUACAGUGGGUAUCUACCCCGAAAGGGGACGGGAAUCUCCUAAAACCAAUCUUAGUUCGGAUUGAGGGCUGCAACUCGCCCUCAUGAAGCUGGAAUCCGUAGUAAUCGCGUUUCAACAGAACGCGGUGAAUACGUCCCUGCUCCUU
rnacentral:rRNA from 1 species